rnacentral:lncRNA from 1 species
CAUAUUUCACCCAGUUGUCUCACAAUGGGGCCUGGUGGGGCUGCAGGAGCUACCUACAAAGGUAUUACAGUCCCACGAUUUGGAGAAAUGCAGAUCUGGAUUCAAAUCCUAGCCACACUAUGUCAGAGUUGAAUGACCUUGGGCAAAUGACUCAAUAUUUCUAACCCUUGGUUUUCUCAUCUAUAAAAUAGAGAUAAUAAAGGUGUGUGCGGGUUAAAUAAAGUAAUCAUGUCUGGCACAUGUUCGAUCCAUGGUCUUUGCUCUUCUUACACUUAUUCCACACCCCAAAUAGGUGGGCAGAUAAUUAGCCAGCUGAGACCAGAGUCCUGUCAUUCCGGGAUUCCGUCUCCAGUCCCCCAGUGCAGGCCAAGUCCAAGCUGUAAGAGCAGGGAUCUGCCCAAGGCUGCCACACUCAGGUCAAAGGUUGGAUAAUGUAGGCCUGGCUGGCCAGGCCCAGGCUCUGCUGUCCAGGAGGGCCCUAUAAACCGCACUUGGAACCUGGAAGAUGGGAAUCGGUGAGUUUCCCAGCGCCUCUGUUUCAAAGCAAAUUUACUAGAAGCAGAAAUAAACGAGGGUGUGGCGGUUCCUUACAUUCAAAACGAAAACAAAAGAAAAGAAAACAAAGAGCCCCCGCCCCAAGCCACCAUGGCUUCGGACCUUUUCCCAGACGCCCGGAGCAGGGGGGGAGCGCGCGCCUUUGUAGUCGCUUCCCCAACUCAGACCUCGGGACGCCGUUGUCUCGGGUCCUCUGGCCUGGGAUCCCGAAUCCCAUAGGCACCUGGGCUUCAAAGUUAAGGCUAACUGGCGGGAUUCGCCCUGCCCAGCCCGGAUUGGAACCACUGGCCCAGACACAUCCACCGCUCACGAGAACGCGCGCUGGGCUCGAUCCGCGCCCCGCCUCGGAAAGCACCCGCUCCCGCGGCCGGAAUCCCGAGAAUGCAGCCGCCCCGGGAAGCAUCUGGCCAGCUUCUGGGCAGUGGGAGGGGCCAAACCUGGAAUUUUUGAAGUGCUUUUUUGCACAAAAUCUCAGAAAGGAUUUCAGCCCCGUGAGGUUGAAGCCCACAAGAGUGAGAAGGAAGCUGUCCACUUCUCCUGGCAGCCUUUGUCCCGGCCUCUCCCCAUCCCCUGCUGGAAAUGCACCCAGACGCCUCUUCCCGGGCUGGAGGAUCCCUUCUUUGUGUCUGCAGGAGGAAGUACUUCCCCAGCUGGAAACCGUCCGAGUCACCCCCAGAAGGCGUUUCCAGCUGGAUUGUCGCCAUCUUGUGGCAAGAUUGGGUGACCACACUGGCCCUUAGCCAGAGCAGCAUACCCAUAACUUUCUUGGGUCCCAAGCACCUUUCUCUUUUCCCAACCAGCUAGGAACUGGAAUUUUAAAAUCAUGUUCCCUGGCUAUAGGAGUUGGGCUGUGGUGCCUCUGUUCCCUCGUCUCCCAAUUGCAUAGGCACGCCUUCGAAAGGCAACUAAGUGUUAGUUGGGAGGUCCAGGAGUGGCCAGGUGCUGCAGGCCUUGUGAGGGGCUCUGCCUCCUGGGGCAUCAUACCUAACCUGAAUGAGUGC